rnacentral:rRNA from 1 species
AGCAGCCGCGGUAAUUCCAGCUCCAAUAGCGUAUAUUAAAGUUGUUGCAGUUAAAAAGCUCGUAGUUGAACCUUAGGCCCGUGCGGGUGGUCCGUCCUCAGGGCGAGCACUGCCUCGUCGCGGGUCUCACCUUCUGGCGAGCGCGGAUGCCAUUCGUUUGGUGCCCGCGGGAACCAGGACCUUUACCUUGAAAAAAUUAGAGUGCUCAAAGCGGGCUCAGACGCUUGAAUACAUUAGCAUGGAAUAAUGAAAUAGGACGAUGGUUCUAUUUUGUUGGUUUCCGGGACCGUCGUAAUGAUUAAUAGGGAUAGUUGGG